rnacentral:rRNA from 1 species
UUGGAGGGCAAGUCUGGUGCCAGCAGCCGCGGUAAUUCCAGCUCCAAUAGCGUAUAUUAAAGUUGUUGCAGUUAAAAAGCUCGUAGUUGAAUUUCGGGAUCAAUAUAUUGGUCAUGCUUAGGUAUGUACUGGUAUUAUUGAUUUCUCCCUUCUGAAGAACCAUGAUGUCAUUAAUUUGAUGUCGUGGGGAAUCAGGACUGUUACUUUGAAAAAAUUAGAGUGUUUAAAGCAGGCUUUCGCUUGAAUACAUUAGCAUGGAAUAAUGAAAUAGGACGUUUGAUUCUAUUUUGUUGGUUUCUAGGAUCGACGUAAUGAUUAAUAGGGAUAGUUGGGGGCAUUAGUAUUCAAUUGUCAGAGGUGAAAUUCUUGGAUUUAUUGAAGACUAACUACUGCGAAAGCAUUUGCCAAGGAUGUUUUCAUUAAUCAAGAACGAAAGUUAGGGGAUCGAAGACGAUCAGAUACCGUCGUAGUCUUAACCAUAAACUAUGCCGACUAGGGAUCGGAUGAUGUUAAUUUUUUAAUGACUCAUUCGGCGCCUUACGGGAAACCAAAGUGUUUGGGUUC